rnacentral:misc_RNA from 1 species
GGCAUGGAUAAGCUCAAAAGCCCAAUACGACAAAUACCAGUAGAAAUUUCAAAAUCGUUAAAAAAUUUCUUCUUUUUCUUUUUUUUUUAAAUCCCAAUACGUCAAAUUAAGGAUGUAUAACCAUGAGAUGCCCAUAAUACGAGUUACCGCUUUCUUUGCCUGAAAACCAGCGAAUGGAUUCUUCAGCAAAACUUCUGUUUUCCUUCUGUUUCAUAGUUCUGCACCUGGCAGCUUUUACAAUUGCUCAGCCAAACUUCCUUCUCCAGUCCUGCUCUGAAAUAGGAAACUACACAGAAAACAGUACCUACCAGAUAAACCUCAACAGCCUCCUAUCCUCCAUUGCCUCCAACACCGUAAUUGACUAUGGAUUUUACAAUCUCUCUGUUGGUCAAUCACAAAACCAAGUAAAUGCAAUUGCACUUUGUAGAGGAGAUGUUGUGUUAGAGGACUGUAGAAGUUGUAUCAGGAACUCGACUAUUAAGAUCUUGCAGGUUUGUCCCAAUCAGAAGGAAGCGAUUGGAUAUUACGAUUUCUGCAUGCUUCGAUUCUCUAACAAAUCCAUAUUCGGUGUAGUUCAACAAAAUCCUACUUUAUAUAUGUGGAAUUUAAACAACGUAUCGAGCUCAGAAUUGAGUCAGUUCAAUCAGGUACUACAAGCGUUAUUGGCCACACUUAGAAACGAAGCUGCAUCUGGGAAUUCGACUCGGAAAUUUGCAACAGGAAAUGAAAGAUCAGGAUUUUAUACAGUUUAUGCACUUAUGCAGUGCACUCCUGAUUUAUCUCAACAGGACUGCGAUGAUUGCCUUGUUGGAGCUACUGCGGAGAUUCCAAUAUCUAGCAGUGGCAAGCUAGGAGGGAGGGUAAUAAAACCCAGUUGCAACCUUAGGUUUGAGGCUUAUCGUUUUUACGAUGAAACUUUUGGCUCAACUCCUCCAACAUCACCACAACAAGCACCACCCGCUCCGGUAUCUCCUCCACCGCAAGCAGGGAAAAAGAGCAACAAAGCAAGGACUGUCGUUAUUAUCGUUGUUCCAACCGUUAGCGUUGUGAUAUUUGUCAUCUGCAUCUGCUUCUUUUUAAAGCUUCGGAAGCCAAAGGAAGAUGUUGAAACUGCGGAUAAAAUAGAAAGCGUGGAGUCACUGCAAUUCGAUUUUGGAACUAUUAGCGUUGCAACAAAGAACUUCUGUGAGGAAAAUAAGCUUGGGCAGGGUGGAUUUGGUGCUGUUUACAAGGUAAAAAAUGGCAACUCUAGCUAGAUGAUCUUAGUUGAAAUUUGUCACUAAUAAUAUUACAUAUAAUGGAUAUUAUAUAGGGUACACUUUCAAAUGGACGAGACAUAGCAGUCAAAAGACUUUCUAAAAAUUCAGGACAAGGAGAUCUGGAAUUUAAAAACGAAGUCCUAUUGGUAGCCAAGCUCCAGCACAGGAAUUUAGUUAGGCUUUUGGGUUUUUGCUUGGAAAGAAAUGAGAGGCUCCUUAUCUAUGAGUUUGUGCCUAACACUAGCCUUGAUCAUUUCAUAUUUGAUGAAAUCAGGGGUGCCCAAUUAAAUUGGGAAAUGCGUUAUAAAAUCAUAAAUGGUAUUGCUCGAGGGAUUUUUUACCUUCAUGAAGAUUCUCGCCUUAAGGUCAUUCAUCGCGAUUUGAAAGCAAGUAAUGUCUUGUUAGAUGAAGAGAUGAACCCUAAAAUUUCAGAUUUU